rfam:Schistosoma mansoni strain Puerto Rico chromosome 6, complete genome
AUCCAUCUGACGAGUCCCAAAUAGGACUGGACGCGCAUCCUGGAU